rnacentral:rRNA from 1 species
UUAGACCUCAAAUCAGUCAGG